rnacentral:piRNA from 1 species
UGAAGAACCCUGAAGUGCCUGUGAGCUU